rnacentral:rRNA from 1 species
UACGGGGGGGGGCAAGCGGUUGUUCGGAAUUACUGGGCGUAAAGGGCUCGUAGGUGGCCAACUAAGUCAGACGUGAAAUCCCUCGGCUUAACCGGGGGAACUGCGUCUGAUACUGGAUGGCUUGAGGUUGGGAGAGGGAUGCGGAAUUGCCAGGUGUAGCGGUGAAAUGCGUAGGAUAUCUGGAGGAACACCGAUGGGCGA